rnacentral:rRNA from 1 species
AAUAGAUACCCAGGUAGUCCACGCCGUAAACGAUGGGCACUAGGUGUGGGAGGUGUCGACUCCUUCCGUGCCGAAGCUAACGCAUUAAGUGCCCCGCCUGGGGAGUACGGCCGCAAGGCUAAAACUCAAAGGAAUUGACGGGGGCCCGCGACAAGCAGCGGAGCAUGUGGUUUAAUUGGAUGCAACGCCAAGAACCUUACCAAGGCUUGACAUGGUCGGGAAAGCCGGAGAAAUUCGGCCCUCCUUCGGGACUCGAUCACAGGUGGUGCAUGGCUGUCGUCAGCUCGUGUCGUGAGAUGUUGGGUUAAGCCCCGCAACGAGCGCAACCCCUAUCCCAUGUUGCCAGCGAGUUAUGUCGGGGACUCAUGGGAAACUGCCGGCGACAAGUCGGAGGAAGGUGGGGAUGAGGUCAAGUCAUCAUGCCCCUUAUGUCUUGGGCUACACACGUGCUACAUUGGCCGGUACAAAGGGCUGCAAAACCGCGAGGUUGAGCGAAUCCCAAAAAGCCGGUCCCGGUUUGGAUUGGAGGCUGCAACUCGCCUCC